UGGGCUGCCUGUGGCUGGAGCUGCCAUCUUUGUCCGAGAGGUAGGUUUAUAGAUGCGAAUCCUUUCCUUCUCUGCCUCCGGGUCAGCAAGAAUUCCAUCCCAACGCAGACUUUCGUUGAUCCGAUUCGCAAGGUUCUCUAUUUCGGCAAAGUCGGGGAGGCUGACGGUGGAGGAGUCAGAAGGGAGGUGCUUCUUUUCCACUUUGCUCUGUCUGUGCUCUGGUUUCGGGCCACGCUCUUUGCAAGGACUUAAGAUGUCAUGAAAGGAGGAAGAAAGCGGCUGGCUCUUCAGGCUCUGACUCUGAUGUUUAUCUGCUGAGUAGAUGAGCAGCCCACUACAGUUGUAGUUCUGGCACCAUCGUGCCAUCAAAGCCGCUUUACAACGUCAC
ensembl:lncRNA novel transcript, antisense to C17orf97